UUAGUUGCCAGCGAUUCGGUCGGGAACUCUAGGGAGACAGCCGGUGAUAAACCGGAGGAAGGUGGGGACGACGUCAAGUCAUCAUGGCCCCUACGAGUAGGGCUACACACGUGCUACAAUGGUAUGUACAGAGGGAGGCAAGCUGGCGACAGUGAGCGGAUCUCUUAAAGCAUAUCGUAGUCCGGAUCGCAGUCUGCAACUCGACUGCGUGAAGUCGGAAUCGCUAGUAAUCGCAAAUCAGAAUGUUGCGGUGAAUACGUUCCCGGGCCUUGUACACACCGCCCGUCACACCAUGGGAGUGGGUUGCAAAAGAAGUAGGUAGCUUAACCUUCGGGAGGGCGCUUACCACUUUGUGAUUCACGACUGGGGCGAAGUCGUAACAAGGUAACCA
rnacentral:rRNA from 1 species